AGCGAAGUAGCUCAGUUGGUAGAGCAGCGGGGUCAUAAUCCGUUGGUCGGGUGUUCGAUUCACCCCUUCGCUA
rnacentral:tRNA from 1 species